UUUUUCCGGUUUGGUUCGGUGCGGUUUGGUUUGGAUUUCCGGUUCGCCGGUUUGAGUGCCCACCCCUACUACCAGGCCCUCAAUUGAUAAAUAAUCGUUCUCAGGUUCCUAGAGGAUCCUCUUUGUAAUUUCUUUUAAUGUUAAAAAAACAGGGUGAUAUUAUUUGUACUACAGUUAUUGACUACAAAUUGCUGACCACAUGUCUAAUACAAAGGGGACCCACAUACAUUGGAAUGUGGUAUAAACAACAUUAUUAAAAAAAAAAAGAAAGAGAUAAAUAAAUCAUCAUCUUCACCUAAAUAUAUACAAUAAUUGCAAGCAAGACAAUUAUUACAUGCAAGACAUAAAAGUGAAGCCUCAAGAGUCAAGACCUUAAAAAAUAGAACAUCAAAAGAAUAAUCUAGUGGAUAUGCCAAAAAUUUUACUCAAAAAAGAAACUUCCAAGUCUCGUUUUCUUGCGUGUGGAUGGUUAUGGGGCUGUAAUGCAGUAAUGGAAUUAAUAUUUACUCUUUGUGGUUGUCUUAGCGUGGUUGUACUUGAUUCUUUGGCAAAAGAAUAGAAUCUUAUUCUUUUUCUGCUUUAUUAGGUAAAUUUCUUCAAGUCUCGUUGUCUCUUUUCACUACCAUGGCAUAGCUGGUAGCAUUCCCACAUUUUUUUAGAAUUUACAAUUGUAAUCAUAUGGUAGGUUAACACAUUCUUUAUCUAUAUCGG
rnacentral:lncRNA from 1 species